UGCAGUCGACGGAGUCGUUGUAAUGAAAUGGAAUGGACAGAGAACUUGUUCGAAGAAAGUUGAAGUAGACUUACAACAAUGGCUUUAGUGGCGGACUGGUGAGUAACGCGUAAGGAACCUGCCUUUUAGAGGGGAAUAACAAUGAGAAAUCAUUGCUAAUACCGCAUAUGCCGAGAGAAUCACAUGGUACAAUCGGGAAAGGAGCAAUUCGCUAAAAGAUGGCCUUGCGUCUGAUUAGAUAGUUGGUGGGGUAACGGCCUACCAAGUCGACGAUCAGUAGCCGGACUGAGAGGUUGAACGGCCACAUUGGGACUGAGAUACGGCCCAGACUCCUACGGGAGGCAGCAGUCGGGAAUAUUGCGCAAUGGAGGAAACUCUGACGCAGUGACGCCGCGUAUAGGAAGAAGGUUUUCGGAUUGUAAACUAUUGUCGUUAGGGAAGAGAAAGGACAGUACCUAAGGAGGAAGCUCCGGCUAACUACGUGCCAGCAGCCCGCGGUAAUACGUAGGGAGCGAGCGUUAUCCGGAAUUAUUGGGUGUAAAGGGUGCGUAGACGGGAAGAUAAGUUAGUUGUGAAAUCCCUCGGCUUAGCUGAGG
rnacentral:rRNA from 1 species